GCGGUCGUGGCGGAAUUGGUAGACGCGCAACGUUGAGGUCGUUGUGGGCUAACGCCCGUGGAAGUUCGAGUCUUCUCGACCGCACCA
rnacentral:tRNA from 1 species